UGACAUGGUCACUAAACAAGGGGGUCGC
rnacentral:sRNA from 1 species